GGAGGGGUGUCCGAGUGGUCGAAGGUGCCUGUUUCGAAAGCAGGUAGGCGAAAGCCUCGGGAGUUCGAAUCUCCCCCCCUCCG
rnacentral:tRNA from 1 species